CCUACGGGAGGCAGCAGUGGGGAAUAUUGGACAAUGGGCGAAAGCCUGAUCCAGCCAUGCCGCGUGUGUGAAGAAGGCCUUCGGGUUGUAAAGCACUUUCAGCGGGGAGGAAGGCGUUAAGGUUAAUAACCUUGUCGAUUGACGUUACCCGCAGAAGAAGCACCGGCUAACUCCGUGCCAGCAGCCGCGGUAAUACGGAGGGUGCAAGCGUUAAUCGGAAUUACUGGGCGUAAAGCGCACGCAGGCGGUCUGUCAAGUCGGAUGUGAAAUCCCCGGGCUCAACCUGGGAACUGCAUUCGAAACUGGCAGGCUAGAGUCUUGUAGAGGGGGGUAGAAUUCCAGGUGUAGCGGUGAAAUGCGUAGAGAUCUGGAGGAAUACCGGUGGCGAAGGCGGCCCCCUGGACAAAGACUGACGCUCAGGUGCGAAAGCGUGGGGAGCAAACAGGAUUAGAUACCCGUGUAGUC
rnacentral:rRNA from 1 species